rnacentral:rRNA from 1 species
GAUGAACGCUGGCGGCGUGCUUAACACAUGCAAGUCGAACGGUGAAGCAGGAGCUUGCUCCUGUGGAUCAGUGGCGAACGGGUGAGUAACACGUGAGCAAUCUGCCCUGGACUCUGGGAUAAGCGUUGGAAACGACGUCUAAUACCGGAUACGAGGCGUGGGGGCAUCCCCAACGCCUGGAAAGAGCUUCGGUCCAGGAUGAGCUCGCGGCCUAUCAGGUAGUUGGUGAGGUAACGGCUCACCAAGCCUACGACCGGUAGCCGGCCUGAGAGGGUGACCGGCCACACUGGGACUGAGACACGGCCCAGACUCCUACGGGAGGCAGCAGUGGGGAAUAUUGCACAAUGGGCGCAAGCCUGAUGCAGCAACGCCGCGUGAGGGACGACGGCCUUCGGGUUGUAAACCUCUUUUAGCAGGGAAGAAGCGAAAGUGACGGUACCUGCAGAAAAAGCACCGGCUAACUACGUGCCAGCCGCCGCUGUAAUAC